rnacentral:sRNA from 1 species
CUUGCCACAGCCCCACCCAUCCAGCCGUACCCCCUGGGUGCCAGCUGCAGACAGGCCGGUGCUGGGCUGGUGGGGGCCAGUUGCUCAUGUACUGAGGCCCCCCUCCCUCAGUUCUGCAUCGGGGUCGAGAUGUGUACAGCAGCCCCUGCCCUGGCCAGGAAGCAGCUGUGUCGGGGCAGAAUGUGGUGGGCUCAGGCCCAGGGCACAGGGGCGGCCUCCCAGCCUUCCCUGCACUUGCCCUGCAGUUCCAGGGCACCUGGUACAUGGUCGGGGUGGUGUCAGAUGACCAGGACUUCCUGGACUCCAAGGACACCAUGAAGAUGGCUGUGGUCUUAGUGACCCCCUUGGGGAACGGUGACCUGGCCCUCAAGUUUGGAUACCCCACGUAAGUGACCACACGAGCCCAUCAGACUCAGCCUCAGAGGAGGGCCAGCAUGAGGCCAGAUGAAGGUCCAGAGGGACCACGGUGUCCCCAGCACAUUGAGGUCAGACCACGGGUCCUCGACGGCUCUGUGCGGCAGAGCCCCAGAUGGCAGCCACACGGAGUCCAGAGGGACCCAGGCCCUGGAGGAAGCACUGCCUGAGGCCUGGUGUUGAGAAAAGUGUCUGCAUGUCUGUGUCUUUGUGUGUAUCACUGUAUGUGGCUGUGUCUCUCUGUGUGUCUAUUUCUGCAUGUGUGUGUGUCUGUGUGUGCGUGUGUAUGCAUGUGUGUCUUCUGUGUAGAUGUGUACCUCUGAGUGUGUAUGUGUGUAUCACUGUAUGCGUCUGUGUGUCUGUGUAUCUGUGUCUGGCUGUGUGUGUCUAUCUCUGUGUGUGUCUUGUGUGCAUGUCUAUGUGUGUGUGUGUCAGUGUAUCUGUGUCUGUGUCUAUCUCCGUGUGUGUGCAUGUGUGUAUGUGUGUGUCUUCUGUGUGUCUGUGUCUGGAAGGGGGACCUGGAGGCCCUGCAUUCUAGGCUGUGUGCCUGUGAACAGGUACUUAAUACCCACCCCACCCCCAGCAGGAGUGUCCCCACCUCUAAGGUCAUCCUAAAGUCCCAUGUCCUCUAAGGAUUGUGAGGGUGAACAGGGGACCCUGGGCUCAGAGACAGCAAGGUAGGCUCUGGGCCUGGGCGCUGGGCAGGGGUGGCCACUCAGGGGACUGGGGCUCUUUCUCCCCAGGCCCGAUGGCGGGUGCCAGAAAAUGGACACGACCUUCACCAAGGGUGCUGUACCGGGGCAGUUCAGCAACCCAGCUCGAGCGCCCGAGCUGUUUCCCGAAGGCGCCCAGAAGAUGCAGCUACUGGCGCCCCAAGUGGGCCUGAGCCCCAGCCAGGGCGUCCUGCUGCCGAAGUCGGACCAGUGUGCGGGCGCGCUCUCCCGGGUGAGUAGACCAUGGCCAUGCGGAGCCGCGGACCAUGGGCCCUCCCAGCUCGGUGGGCUGCACCGCGGGGCCCUCUACCUUCGGGGCAGCUAGGGACGACAGCGGGGGUGAUGGGGCACCCGGGCGGAUACGAGCCGCAGCAGCCUGGGGAACCGCGGGGCUGCGCGUCGGGAAGGGGCGGAGGCAGGGGACGCCCCCCACCUGCUCCUUGUUUUGCAGUGAGGGGUCCAGCCCCUGAGUGCCCGCAGGGGUCAGCUGCUCCGUGCGCCCAGCCCUCCCCAAAGAGCCCCCUCCCUCCACACCCUGGCCCCAAGCGCAAUAAACACCCUGAAUGCC